UUUCUAUGAGGAAAACAAUCCAACUCAGAUUCUCAGCUCCCAAACAGACAAUGCAGAACACACAACAGCAGUCCAGAACUCAACAAGCCUUUUUCAAAUCAAAGCACAGAAUGGUUGUCCAGCACAACAAACAAAAACAAAAAGUCUAAAUGUAUUAUGGCAACACGGAUUCAAACCCACUCCUCAUACCACAUAGUACGAGUGCAGGUACAGCAGGGCGCUGACCAAACAGCCAAAUGUCUCUGGAGGACUGUCGGUUGUCAGAGGACAGCGACUACGAGGCUGAAAAGAACUUGAGUGACGGCGAAAACGACGACGACGUUGAGUGGAACUACCUGGAGCUCGUCCAGCUGCACAACAACCUGAAAUGCUUUGAACAAAUCUACUACAACAAUGCACUGGUGGACCAGCAGAACACUGAGAGAGAGAGA